rnacentral:ncRNA from 2 species
GAUUGUACAAGUUAAUAGUUCCGUAUAUGCUUGAGGAUAUGGCUCAAGUGUCUCUACCGGGCCGCCGUAAAUGGCCUGACUACGGAAGGGAAAGUGUACCUA